CCGUACUAUGUGGGGAGUUAGCGGUGCCUUGUAACCUGCAAUCCGCUAUAGCAGGACAGAAUCCCCUUUGGAGGUAUAUCGGCAGUCGGUUCAGGGACUGCAUUUUGAAGCGUUGACCAUAGGGCUUCGUGCAAUACGAUUCGGCGAACCCCGUCAGGUCUGGAAGGAAGCAGCGGUAAACUGAUCAUUUGUAUGUGCCGCGAAAUUACCUUAUGCGAGCCGAAGGUGCAGAAACACCGGUUAUCGGGUAUCGAAAAAGGGUGUACGG
rnacentral:SRP_RNA from 1 species